ACUGAUAAUCUGUCUACUCGGGCAUUUGCCCGAGGGGCUGCUCUGUUGUGUGUUUUAGUGGGCCGCUCGCUGUCUGACAAGAUGCGGGGGCGCACUGCUUCACUAUGCUAUUAAUCAAAGCCGCCAGCGUCAGUACCUGAUCUGUCCAGCGCGGCCACCUAAUUAGUUUACUAAUCCGUGAGCAGCGUCUGCUUCAUGUAAUCAUCCCUCUGCUCUGUCUCCGUGUUCCUCCCCCACUCUCUGGAAUGGCAGCAAGACGCUCAAGUUUGCAGCCUCCUCCCACCUCCAUAUAGCAGUGUAAUGUAACAGAGCAGAGAGAGAGAGGGAGGAGGACUGCAGAAACUUUGAAUUAGUGGACAGGACACCUGUGUGAUGUCACGACAGGCUGCUUUCUUUACAAACAAACAGGAGAGCUGAAUUAUUCUUCUGGGAAGCUGUUAAUGUGGUUCACCAGACGUCCCUUCUGAACUCUACUGGAGACGAGUUGAGUUCUUAACCAAAGCAGAACAUGACAGGACAAGUAGGAAUGAUAAAGGUGUAAACAGCCAAAGGCAGGAGUUGACAGUCACUUCGAAGUGAUUUUUUGAAUACUUCGACCAUCGAAUAGGAUACUACGACUUCGAAUUUACUUCAACCUGCCGAAGGGCUAUG